UACGGGGGGAGCGAGCGUUAUUCAGAAUGACUGGGCGUAAAGGGUACGUAGGCGGUCUAUUAAGUUGAAGGUAAAAGCCCAGAGCUUAACUCUGGAAAACCCUUCAAAACUGAUAUGACUGGAGUACGAGAGGGGAUAGUAGAAUUUCUAGUGUAGGGAUGAAAUAUGAAAAGAUUAGAAGGAAUACCAAAGGCGAAGGCAACUAUCUGGAUCGAUACUGACGCUGAGGUACGAAAGCGUGGGGAGCAAACAGG
rnacentral:rRNA from 1 species